CCCUGUCCCACCCCACGUCGCAGAUCCGAUCACUACGGCGGCGACCCGCGGACAAAGACGGAGACCUCACCGUGCGCCCUAAACACCGACGACAUAGGAUACUGAUCGAUUGCAGUUGGGUUCAUCUCGAUCUCCUGACGCGGCCGCCGUGUACUUCUUGGUGCGAGCAAUGCAAUCUACCAAUAGCUUGCAAAUGCAGUUGGAGGAGGAAAGAUUUACCACACCUGUAAAGAAAGCAAGUGUUCCUCUCCCCUGUUCGUCUUUUACACCGGAAUGUGAAGAGAAUUUGAAGCCUAAUUUAGGCAUGACAUUUGAAGGAUUAGAGGCUGUUGAGAAGUUCUAUAAGUUUUAUGGACAUGAAGUUGUGUGGUAAUGAUACCUACAAGAUAGAAUCAUGGGUUGAGCACUACAAUCAUGGUCACUUGAUCAGAUCAAAUCGUCAAGUUAUUGAGAGUGCAAAGAAUGCAUUAUACACAUGUAACAAAGCAAGCAUAGACACCUGUCAGACAUACAGGCUUCUCCAAGUCAGCGAGGGUUCCUGCAGUGAAGCACACUAGGCAAGAGGAAUAUGAG